CAGGAUCCCACCUAAUUUGCAUCACGAGGAGAGAGUUUCCCAGAAUCCAUGGUGAUUGACUUGGCAGCUGGAGAGAGAAGACUGUCCAGAUAUUGAAAACCACUGACCAACACAGGUAGUUAUCAAAGUUUGAUGGCUAUCAGACCCUCCUGGGCUGGUGGUAGUGAGCUAUCUUGCCCACACAGAGGUGAGAAAUAGUAAUUGCCAGGCAACACAGCUGGAAAAGAAAGUCACCUGACUCUGAAAUGGAAAAUUCCACAAGCCCACCUUUUAAAAACAGCCUGCUGUUAGCUGCAAGCCCACUUUGUCCCCAGCUUGCAGAAGCAGCCGAGCAAAGCAGGCCCUGGAGACAAUUCAGAGGCUCUUCCUUUCCUGGGUGCUGCUUCCCUUGUACUCGAACACAAGCUUAAUAAAAUCUGUCUGGAAAUUU